rnacentral:rRNA from 1 species
AUGGCGCUCUCCGAACUCUCUCGCCAGUCGCUCCACCCCAGCUUCCUCUACUCCGCCGCCUCCUCCUUCACCGCCGCCUCCAGCCCCACCUCCCAGGCCCCUGUCGCGGCCCCUACUCCGGCCUUCGGCCAUGGCACUGGCGGCGGCAGGCCGUUCUCGAUCCAGUCCCCGAACGAGAAGAUCAAGAUGUAUUCUCCGGCCUUCUACGCCGCCUGCAGCGUCGGAGGAAUCGCCAGCUGUGGGCUCACCCACAUGGCCGUCACCCCGCUCGACCUCGUCAAGUGCAAUAUGCAGAAAUACAAGAGCAUCUCAUCUGGUUUCGGUGUAUUGCUAAAGGAGCAAGGAGCUAGGGGAUUCUUCAGGGGAUGGGGGCCUACCUUGCUGGGUUACAGCGCUCAGGGCGCUUGCAAGUUUGGGUUCUACGAGUUCUUCAAGAAGACCUACUCAGAUAUGGUUGGGCCUGAGAAUGCCAGCAAGUACAAGACCCUAAUUUACCUUGCAGGGUCUGCUUCUGCUGAGCUGAUUGCGGAUGUGGCUCUCUGCCCCAUGGAGGCUGUCAAGGUACGUGUGCAGACACAGCCUGGAUUUGCUCGUGGGCUUACUGAUGGGCUCCCCAAGUUCAUCAAAGCUCAGGGUGCUGCUGGGCUCUACAAGGGAAUUGUUCCUCUCUGGGGUCGCCAGAUUCCUUAUACCAUGAUGAAGUUUGCGUCCUUUGAGACCAUUGUUGAACAAAUCUACAAGCAUGCUGUUCCCGUUCCAAAGUCUGAGUGCAGCAAGCCUUUCCAAUUGGGUGUCAGCUUUGCUGGUGGAUACAUCGCUGGUGUCUUGUGUGCUGUUGUUUCUCACCCAGCUGACAACCUCGUCUCUUUUUUGAACAAUGCCAAGGGUGCUACAAUUGGUGAUGCUGUUAAACGGAUUGGUGUUACGGGCCUUUUCACCAGAGGUCUUCCCCUGCGAAUUGUCAUGAUCGGUACCCUUACCGGUGCUCAGUGGGGAAUUUAUGACGCCUUCAAGGUCAUGGUUGGGCUUCCAACAACAGGUGGUGUUGCACCAGUUCCUGCAGCAUCAGAAGAAGCUAAAGUCAUCGCUUGA